ACAAAUAAGGAUGGGGAGUAUGACAUCUUCUUUAUGACAUCUUCUUUUAUUACCUCUUAGAAUAAUCCUUUGGAAGUCUGAGCCAAGGAGGCUCAAGAGGAAACCAUGGUAGAUUUAAGGAGGCAGGGGAUUAAGUAGCUCAGUGACAAAUACAUUAGUAUCUAUCUAAGUCAGGCAAAUUAGAAGAAAGAAGUUUUCAUAUGCAGACACUGGUUUGACUUUUGGAGUGAGUUAUCAAUUUAGGACACCAAGAUAAACAGGAAACCCAAAAGAUUCUCUUCUCUCAUCUUCUGUUUGGGUACAUGCUGACUUAGAGCUGUAUUGCACUUGGUUUUGUCUCAUCUCUGUAUCAAAGCCUGAGAGAGCAGCAAGAUGAGCACUGGGAAAGAUUCCCAUCGUGCAAUUUCAUUCUACACAGAAGUAAAUUAACUAAUCAGUGGAACAAGGUGCUUGACCUUAAACAUAUUGCAAGUAUUUGCAGGAUCAGAAUCUAAUUUAGAUUUCUGGAAUGCAUUCUUUGAUUAAAGAGUGGAAAACAACAGGUUAAAGUGAAAGACUAUCUGCCCCUAAGGAUUGCUUUAAAAAUAAAAUUAAUGUAUCCAUUGAUUUAUGUUUGUGCAAGUAUUUAUGUUGCUGCAUUCUCUUCUCUGCUGCAAGAAUAAAUAUGGACAGUGUUUAAACACUGUAAACCAACCACUGAUAUCUUCCCUAACAGAAUAACUGCAUCCCUGAGGACAGUAUUUGCUGUCUAUAUAU